rnacentral:ncRNA from 1 species
GCAGAGUAGACGUUUAUGCGUGGGAAAGUAUCCCGGAGUGUCGGACGAACGGGGAGUUGUCGUCCGAACGAAAAGCCUUGCGCGGCUGCGGUAUAAGCGUCGCAUCCCGCUG